CUGGAGGGAGACAUUUCCCCUGACUCAACAAGUGGGUGGAGGAGGCAGGACAGGCAAGGAACAGCCCCCUCAGGGUGUCAGCACAAGCCUCCCACUGCACACACAGAGCUGGCUGACUCAGUACCACAUUUGUCUGUCCUCUUCCCAAAGGAUCUGAAGACUUUCUUAUUAGAGUCAAACAAAUCAAUUAAAAAAAAAAAAAACCACAAAAAUACUGUUUCCAUUGCUUCACAUUCUCUUACCUUUUUUGAUAACACCAAGUGGCAUUUAUGUAUACGUUGUGACAACUCUCUACCUUCCAUGUUUUGGUGAGUGGAUGGUGACUGUGGUCAGGUAUACUGCCCUGGUGAGCAAUCCCCAAAUCUCAGUGGCUUAAUGAGAACUCAUGUUCCAUUUUUUGAGGGGGAUCUGGGGAUGGAGGGCAGGCAACUGGGGACCCGGGCUGGUGUGGCACUGGCACAGUUGUUGGGGCAGAAUAAAGAACCUAGUCAGUGCUGGCUCUUAUGUUUUCCAGAGCCGGGGGAAGCCUGUGAAAUGCUGUCUCCUGGAUACGGCGUGGCUGAUGUAAUCAUGAACACAGAGCAGCUAUGGCUUCCCUCACAAGCCCUGCACACUCCUGAAAUAAGACACAGUAGUAAGAGAGGGACUAGUUGAGAAGGGAUCUGUCGGAGUGGAAGGGGAAAGAGAGGGUAACAGGGUAAAUAUGCUCACAAUAUAUUCCCUACAUGCAUGCAAUUGUCAAAAUUACAAUAAUCUUAAGAUGUCCAGCAUAAAUGGACACACUCAGUACUGCUCACGUCUCAUUGGCCAAGAACUCUACCUACCUUAAAAGGAACGGAGACUUAAGCCUGGCUCAGAGGGAGGGAAGAGGAUGUUUAUUGCUGCUUUAAUGGCAAACCAACAAAAUUAGUAUGUAAAUAGGAUUUUUCUUAGCACUUCCCUGAGAGCCUGGGCAGCUGUCUACAGGAUGGAAUUCACAAGGAUCCAGCAGUGGACUGUGGACAUGACUGCCUGGGUCACCAGCUCACACUAGCAGUGAGCUGGAAGAAUGUGGUACAGACUGAUGGGGGGACAUUCUCGUGGAAAUCAAGGAAAAGUGACUCCUUCCACACAAAGCCAGACCAAGCACUGCCAGGAGGGAGCUGACAAGUGUCUUGCCUGUAGGCCACUGCAUGCUGCCAGCCACCCUAAUAGAUGGCAGCGUCAUGACGGUGACCUUCACUUUCUGAUUUCAGUUUUCUUUACAACAAAGCUUACACAGGCUCGAAUUUGAUUAAAAUGACAACAAAACCACCAACAACCACCACCAACAACCAAACCCAAACACUUGUCCAACCAUCAAAAAUAAUUGAUAAUGAUUUUGAACCUAUCUUGAUAAAAAUUCCAGAGAAGUGUGAGGUUUUCUUUCUUCCCUCUUCCUGCCUGCCUGGAGAAGCAUUCUGUAUUCUUCAAUACUCUUGCCAAAACACGGCCUCUUAGACAGAAUCAGUCCCUCUAGACACUCACUCUGUGCUUGCCUGAACUCUUACAGCACUCAUCAUGUUGUGCUACAACUUGUUUUUUUUUUUAAUCUAAUCAUUUAUUUAACCCAUGUACAUAGUUCUCGCUAUGAUGCUCACGGUGUAACCAGCAUCACUUCAUCUAGUCCUUGUGAUCUGCCUAUGAGGCAGCCGCUGCUAUCUCUACUUGGCACAUGAGAUGCCCCAUCUCAGAGGAGCAGGUACUUUCAGUUCAGGAGAAAACACGGAGGCUUGAGUUGACCCAGAUAAAUGGACUCUUGACUAGAUGAGGCGCCUUGGGGAAAGAGGGCAGCCAUCAUGAGCUUAGUAUUGCUCAAAGGUCUGGGUUAGGGCUUGGCAUCGGGAAUGGCUGUUAAAUGAACAGACCUGCUGAUGUACUCUGAUAUCUAAUCUUGGUUGUCAGGUUGACUCUAUCUGGAAUUAACUAAAACCCAAGCAACUGGGCAUGAAGUAAGGGAUUUUCUUGACUUGAUUAUUUGAGUGGGCAAGACCCACCCUAGAUCGGAGCCACACUUUGUGGUGGCAGGUCCACAUAAGGCCACAGAAGAAAGAAGCUUCCUCCUUCGGCUGCCUGCCUUCGCUCUUGCAUGGGAUUUGGAAAUAGCUUUCCUUGUUUAGCUGGAAAUUGUUGGAGUCAUCGAUUCCUUUUGUGGGCCUAUGAUGAGCGAUGGAUAGAAGACCUUGUAACAGCGGGGCCCUAAGCUCCACCCUUGGGCCAUUCCUGAACAUCCACCCUCACCCCGAGAAGCGUCAUUCAGCUCAUGUACACCGGUUUCUUCAUCUCCCUUACCUCCAGCCCUUCACCCCUCCCACCCGUCCCACCUCUUUCUGCAUUGGAACCCUGGGAAUGCAGAUUUAAGCCCAGUUUGUUUGGCUGCCUCAUGCAUAGGCUGGCUUCAGGGAUUGGAAUAGUAAGCGGCCGGCAAAAUGGGCCCCAUUUGGUAACAGCUGCUCUCUAUACCUAUAUAGCAAGUUUUCCUGUCUGCCCUGUAUCACCAGAGCAAAGGUUCCAUAAGGCUGAGGAGCUAAUCCACCUGUCUCCCCACGGCUUGCAACUCUGCACAUGGUAUCCUGCACGCAGUAGGUAUACCUACAAACCUUAAUCCUUAAGCUGUCCUAGUGAAGCAGGCGUUAUUGCUACUGGUUUUCAACCGAGCCUUAGAAAAGUGGCCCAAUGCUGCUUGUGUUUGAACCAGAAUGUGGCCCCAGGUCUUGGUCUCUUAGUGCCAUAUGGAUUCUGGGGCCCCAGGUGGUUUUAAAUAUGCAGUGUCUUCAAUUUUAUUAAAAUAGCUUGUCUAUGACUCAGCCUAUGUUCUUGCUAUACAAGACUCUGUUCAGAGGGGAGAGUUGCUGAAAGGCCCAUAUGUAAUCAAAGACAAUCAAGACGAAUAUAAUAAGAAUGGGUCUCUUGCAAAAAGGAAGUUUAAGGACUCCAAAGUGCCCGGUCCUGACUACUCACUGCGAAUCCUCUCCUUUGGAGGGAAUGCUCCAGGCUGUUCAAAGGUAACCAAAGGUUUUCUUUUGUUUUUAAAAUAGACAGAUACUACCAACUGCUAAAUGGAUACACAAAAUACAGUGCAUUUUAUCCAGCCAUAAAAAUGAAUGAAGUCAACCAGGCAGUGGUGGCCCACACCUUUAAUCCCAGCACUUGGGAGGCAGAGGCAGGUGGAUCUCUGUGAGUUCAAGGUCAGCCUGGGCUACAGAAUGAGUUCCAGGACAGCCAGGGCUACAAAGAGAAACCCUGUCUUCAAAACAAAACUAGGAAGUCCUGCUACUUGUACAACACGGAUGAACCUUGGAAACUCUAUGCUAAGUGAAAAGGCCAGACACAGGAGGCCACAUAGCAUACAAAAUACCACCUAUGUGAGAUUUCCUAAGUAAGAGCCUGGAGAAUAAGAGCAGAUUCAAGCAUGCAGGGAAUGGGGCACAGUUCAUGCAUCUGGGGUUUUGUGGAGUGUCUGCAAGACGUGGUAGUGCUUGGCAAAACAUUGUGCAUUCACUACUACUAAAACGUACCUUUUAAAAUGCCUGGUGUGGUGGCACAUACCUUCAAUCCCAGCACUUGGGAGGCAGAGGCAGGCAGAUCUCUUGAGUUCUAGGCUAGUCUGGUCUACAGAGUGAGUCCCAGGACAGUCAAAGAUAUAUAGUGACCCUGUCUCAAAACAACAACAACAACAACCACAACAAAACAAAAAAACACAAAAGGUUUAAAUGGUAAAAUUUAUACUACACAUACUUUAACACAACUUAAAAACAGCAACAUAUUAGACAACAGAAACAAGCAGCUGUACUUUUCAGUUGCCUUCAGAGGACAUGAACGUGCGCAAUAACCGCCAAGUUUGAUAGUCUGGGGUGCCAAUACUUGAUAUAAAGGCUGGAGUGACACACUGAGUUGUGUUUGGGACUUUUGCUAAAAGAAUUAGUCUAGAGCCAGGUAUGGUGGCACAUGCCUGCAAUCUCAGCAUUGGGGAGGCUGGGGCAGGAGGAUGGAGUUCAAGGCCAGCUAGGCUACAUGGAGAGAUGCUCUUUAAAAAAUCCAGAGGGAAUAGAAGAGUACAUUCCAGGUGCUCUCUCCACAAGGGGUGGGGGACGCUACCCUGUGAGCUUGGCGUGCUGAUUUGCUUGACACAGCGACCAUUUCACUGCGCGUACCAAAACAUUUAAAUGUAUUCAAUAAAAAUUUGAGAAAUUAAGGAUCUGCAAACCUCUUAGGUCAUUUUAUAGAAAAGAGUAAAAAAAAAUUAGAAUUAUGUGCACAUAUACAAAAUCUAGAUACAUAAUAUUAAAAACCUUACCAUAGCUCGUUAUCUCCUAGAGCAAAAAUGGAGGGCCCAGCAUGCAGCUCCCACCCCUGCUUUGACUGUGGUUUGUUAAGGUCUCCAGGCUGCUGGAGCUGCCAUCCUCCAUUGUGCAGGGCAUGCUGAUGGGCGUGUCUGGCUUCCUGGGUCUCAGGAAUCUGCCACAUCUUUCUUUAGGACGUGAAAACAGCUGGCCCAUGAAUGAUGACUGGUGGAGAUGCCUCCCCUGGGCCCUUCCCUGCAGACAGCUGCUCUGCCUUUGUAGCCGACCCCAAACCCACAGAACUGCCUUCGCAUCCAUCUGGACAGAGCAGUGGGAAAUGAUUCCAUCAUCCUGUCUUGCCUUUUAAAGUUUGAGCGGCUCCAUAAUAGACCUAAGUAUUUGGAGGUUCCAGAUGGCUUUGUUCAUGGAGGGUCUGCAACCAGCCAGCUGCCUGAUGAGGCUGUUCUUAUGAAAGCUUCCCCUAUCUCUCCCUCAUCCACAAUGAAAUGGUGCUUAUAUUGUCUGCACCAACCCAGGCCCUGCUGUGCCUGGGAAGUUUACCUCUUUCAAUCACGUGGCACGAUCCUGGUGACCAGAGCUUGUUCCUGCAACUUUGGGGGUGUCCUGUAGCAGCACACAGCCUGUAUUACUUUCCAGGUACCCUCUUCCCUCUAACAGCACCCAGACUCCUUUGCAGGUCCAGCCUGUCACCACGAUUGGCUCAGGCAGCUUUGGAAUAGCACAGCAUGAUGUGCUGUAAGGACCAUCAAGUCUGAGCUUUUUGGAAACUCUUUCUCUAGGAACCCCCAAAGUAACAGGCGUGCUGGGGAUCAUCACCACCAAUACUCAGGAUGCUUGUCUGAAGGUUAAAAUACAGCAGGCGCAUGGUUGGAGACAGCAGUCCUGACACAUGCUUUGAGACUCAGUUCACCGCUGGCUCCAACUGAAAGAAUGUGCCUGUGCACCUGUCGACAUCUCUUUCUGUCUCUAAGGCUAGAGACUGAUCCCGAGGCUUCAAACACACAUGGAACACUCCACCAUGGAGCCACACCCCAGCUCCAACAACAUACCCACUUGCUGAUAAGUUGUUUGUCGCUGUAUCUAGUGUGGUUAUGUGAAAUUUUCAUUUUCUGCAUUAAAAAGGCUUUCUUGUGGUAAAAUGUGCAAAAGAUUUACCAUGUUAGCUCUUUUAAGUGUUAGCCCAGUGGCAUUAAGUGUAUCUUCACUAUUGGACAAUGUGACAUCACUACCCACUUCCAGCAUUUUACCUUCAUCCUAAACAAAACCCUGCCACCAUUUAAUGCCAACUCAGAUCUCUUCUGCCCCCAGUAACCACUAUGUUACUCUGUCUCUAUGAAUGACUGCAUUAGUAAACAUCACAUGAAUGGAAAUCAUACAACUAUUUGUGACAGACUUACCUCAUUUCUAGGUCUUCAAGGCUCACCCACAAUGAAGAAUGUACAACAGUGUCCUCCUUUCUUGCUGCCAGCUAAUAUUCCACUGUGAAUUUUGUUUCUCUGCUCACUUGCAGGUGGACAUAUGUGUUAUUUCUAUUUUUAUUUUUUGGCUGUUAUAAAUAAUGCUCCAGUGAAAAGCAGUGUAAAGGUAUCUAUAGGAGUCUCAUUUUAACUUAGAAGCUUCGUGUAUCCACCACCAGAUAGCUGACUAUGCAGUGAUUGUGUUUGAGGAUUAAAGGGACUGUUAUGCUGUCUUCCACGGUGGCAGCAUCACUUAACGUCUCCACCAACAUGCUGCCAAGGUUCCCACUGCCCCAUCUCUGCACCAACACUUGUCUUUGGAAACCAUUUAAAGGAGGAACUGUGGGACCCUGGGAAGAGGCCUUAUGACCUCAUCUUUGUAAGAAGAGAACCGUUGGGCUACGGAAUCGUCAAAGCCAGCAGCUCUGGCCUUUUUGAAUAGGUCUGUGCUCUCCAGCAGUGUCUUCAUAAUUCCAGCCUCACACCACCCCCGACACCAGGACGCUGGGCUGCAUGUCUGCAGUGGAGAUGAAUGACGCUCAGAGCUGCGGGCUACUUACUCCCUUUCCUGAUUAGAAGGGAAGAGGCUAACCACAUAUUCCUCCUUCGGAGCCACCUUGCCUGCCGUGGCCCUUCCCAGCUCUAGCAUCUGUGGUGAGAAUUUCCCAGGACCCUCAGAGUCCAGGAAAGUUACAAUACUAUCUCACAAGUAUGCGGCCCCAGGAGAUGGGUAGCCGGUCCCCUUCUUUACAGCCUUUGCCUGCACUCUGCCAGCUACAGAAAACCUGGAGAAACUUCCCAUUUAGAGCUAUACAAGACAAGGGGUGGGGGGAAGAGGAAGGAGCCAGUGAACUGUGACACCAAGACCUUGUAAGGGCUUUAUUUCUAUGUCAUCAUGGUCUCAGACAGACUCUGAGGCACCAUCAUUUGUCUCAAUUUGGCAUCCUCAGGAUUUUCUGUAGUGCUUUUCCCUUAAACAAGAAAAUGUCGAGUGAGCUUUGUACACUGCCAGUUAAUGUUUGAACAAUAAUUUAAAAACGGGGCUGUUGUCUCAUUGGGACAGGGGGACCGACAGGAACCGUACAGUACGAGGAACUCCACAAUGAGUUACAGUGGAUCAGACCGACGCACACGCAGGUGCGGGCAGGGACAAGAGCAGGGUAUGUACAGGUGCCCGAGGAUGUGCGGCAGGCGGAGUAUAUGGGUCAUACAGUGAGUCUUAAGUCAUCGGAGGGGCUCCGUACCUUCUCAGACAUGUUGAUCUGCAUCCUUCCAGAUUAUGGACACUCUUGUCUUCUGGCCUCAUGGCCUUUUCACUAAAAAGAGUUUACUGAGUUGGACAGUCUGAAGCAUUAAAAAAGACUCCUAAAAAACUCAGCACUGGACAAAAUAAAACUUAACUUAGAACAUUCUGAACUCAAUAUGGAGAAACCCAACCAAAAUGGAACAGUGCAAAUUUAACAGAGGCAGUUAGGAUCAAGAACAAGGGUGUUUGGAAUCUCUUAAGAUGUACAUUUUAAAACUCUUAAAUCUAUUUAUACCUUAUUUACCCUUUUUUGUUUAAUAUAUUGUGUGUAAAAAAGAUGGAGACAAAAAUAGUUUUCUGAGCUAUGAAAAAAUUA